AACGAACGCUGGCGGCAGGCUUAACACAUGCAAGUCGAGCGAGACCUUCGGGUCUAGCGGCGGACGGGUGAGUAACGCGUGGGAACGUGCCCUUCUCUACGGAAUAGCCCCGGGAAACUGGGAGUAAUACCGUAUACGCCCUUUGGGGGAAAGAUUUAUCGGAGAAGGAUCGGCCCGCGUUGGAUUAGGUAGUUGGUGGGGUAAUGGCCCACCAAGCCGACGAUCCAUAGCUGGUUUGAGAGGAUGAUCAGCCACACUGGGACUGAUACACGGCCCAGACUCCUACGGGAGGCAGCAGUGGGGAAUCUUAGACAAUGGGGGCAACCCUGAUCUAGCCAUGCCGCGUGAGUGAUGAAGGCCUUAGGGUUGUAAAGCUCUUUCAGCUGGGAAGAUAAUGACGGUACCAGCAGAAGAAGCCCCGGCUAACUCCGUGCCAGCCGCCGCAGUAA
rnacentral:rRNA from 1 species